GUAAUGUUUCCCAAAUCUGCUUUUUUGCUCUCAGUAACAACGAUUCAGCCUUGUCAUUAUUAUAUAACCAAGGGGAUCUUUGUCACUAAGUGCAAUUAAUAGCAACAUACGACAAGCCACC
rnacentral:precursor_RNA from 14 species